rnacentral:rRNA from 1 species
GGCGGCAUGCCUAACACAUGCAAGUCGAACGAAGGCCCUAGCUUGCUAGGUGUCCUUAGUGGCGGACGGGUGAGUAACGCGUGGGGAUUUGCCCUAGAGUGGGGAACAACAUUUGGAAACGAAUGCUAAUACCGCAUACGCCCUUAGGGGGAAAGGCUUCGGCCGCUCUUGGAUGAUCCCGCGUCUGAUUAGCUUGUUGGUAAGGUAACGGCUUACCAAGGCGACGAUCAGUAGCUGGUUUGAGAGGAUGAUCAGCCACACUGGGACUGAGACACGGCCCAGACUCCUACGGGAGGCAGCAGUGGGGAAUAUUGGACAAUGGGGGAAACCCUGAUCCAGCAAUGCCGCGUGAGUGAAGAAGGCCUUAGGGUUGUAAAACUCUUUCACUGAUGAAGAUGAUGACGGUAAUCAGAGAAGAAGCCCCGGCUAACUCCGUGCCAGCAGCCGCGGUAAUACGGAGGGGGCUAGCGUUAUUCGGAUUUACUGGGCGUAAAGCGCACGUAGGCGGCGUAUCUAGUCAGAGGUGAAAGCCCGGGGCUCAGCCCCGGAAUUGCCUUUGAUACUGGUAUGCUUGAGUUCGGAAGAGGGUAGUGGAAUUCCAAGUGUAGAGGUGAAAUUCGUAGAUAUUUGGAAGAACACCGGUGGCGAAGGCGGCUACCUGGUCCGAUACUGACGCUGAGGUGCGAAAGCGUGGGGAGCGAACAGGAUUAGAUACCCUGGUAGUCCACGCCGUAAACGAUGAGUGCUAGUUGUCGGGACGCAUGCGUUUCGGUGACGUAGUU